rnacentral:rRNA from 1 species
AUUGAACGCUGGCGGCAGGCCUAACACAUGCAAGUCGAGCGAGCGGCGGACGGGUGAGAAAUGUAUGGGUCUCUGCCCGAUAGAGGGGGAUAACUACUGGAAACGGUGGCUAAUCACGCAUACUAUCGGAAGAACCCAUGUGGGAUUCGCUAGGUGGUGGGGUAAAGGCUCACCUAGGCGACGAUCUCUAGCUGGUCUGAGAGGAUGCUCAGCCACACUGGGACUGAGACACGGCCCAGACUCCUACGGGAGGCAGCAGUGGGGAAUAUUGCACAAUGGGCGCAAGCCUGAUGCAGCCAUGCCGCGUGUAUGAAGAAGGCCUUAGGGUUGUAAAGUACUUUCAGCGGGGAGGCGUUACCGACAGAAGAAGCACCGGCUAACUCCGUGCCAGCAGCCGCGGUAAUUC